rnacentral:rRNA from 1 species
AUUGAACGCUGGCGGCAUGCCUUACACAUGCAAGUCGAACGGCAGCACGGGAGCAAUCCUGGUGGCGAGUGGCGAACGGGUGAGUAAUAUAUCGGAACGUGCCCAGUCGUGGGGAUAACGUAGCGAAAGCUACGCUAAUACCGCAUACGAUCUAUGGAUGAAAGCGGGGGAUCGCAAGACCUCGCGCGAUUGAAGCGGCCGAUAUCAGAUUAGGUAGUUGGUGAGGUAAAGGCUCACCAAGCCGACGAUCUGUAGCUGGUCUGAGAGGACGACCAGCCACACUGGGACUGAGACACGGCCCAGACUCCUACGGGAGGCAGCAGUGGGGAAUUUUGGACAAUGGGCGCAAGCCUGAUCCAGCAAUGCCGCGUGCAGGAUGAAGGCCUCGGUUGGUAACG